CGGAGGGUGCGAGCGUUGUUCGGAAUCACUGGGCGUAAAGGGCGUGUAGGCGGUCCGCUAAGUCUGAUGUGAAAGCCCGGGGCUCACCCCCGGAAGUGCAUUGGAAACUGGCGAACUCGAGUCCCGGAGAGGAGAGUGGAAUUCCUGGUGUAGCGGUGAAAUGCGUAGAUAUCAGGAGGAACACCGGUGGCGAAGGCGGCUCUCUGGACGGUGACUGACGCUGAGACGCGAAAGCGUGGGGAGCAAACAGGAUUAGAUACCCUGGUAGUCCACGCUGUAAACGAUGAGCACUAGGUGUCGUGGGUAUUGACCCCCGCGGUGCCGCAGCUAACGCAUUAAGUGCUCCGCCUGGGGGACUACGGCCGCAAGGUUA
rnacentral:rRNA from 1 species